rnacentral:rRNA from 1 species
CCUUCGGGGUGGAUUAGUGGCGAACGGGUGAGUAACACGUGGGCAAUCUGCCCUUCACUCUGGGACAAGCCCUGGAAACGGGGUCUAAUACCGGAUACCACUCCUGCCUGCAUGGGCGGGGGUUGAAAGCUCCGGCGGUGAAGGAUGAGCCCGCGGCCUAUCAGCUUGUUGGUGGGGUAAUGGCCCACCAAGGCGACGACGGGUAGCCGGCCUGAGAGGGCGACCGGCCACACUGGGACUGAGACACGGCCCAGACUCCUACGGGAGGCAGCAGUGGGGAAUAUUGCACAAUGGGCGAAAGCCUGAUGCAGCGACGCCGCGUGAGGGAUGACGGCCUUCGGGUUGUAAACCUCUUUCAGCAGGGAAGAAGCGAAAGUGACGGUACCUGCAGAAGAAGCGCCGGCUAACUACGUGCCAGCAGCCGCGGUAAUACGUAGGGCGCAAGCGUUGUCCGGAAUUAUUGGGCGUAAAGAGCUCGUAGGCGGCUUGUCACGUCGGAUGUGAAAGCCCGAGGCUUAACCUCGGGUCUGCAUUCGAUACGGGCUAGCUAGAGUGUGGUAGGGGAGAUCGGAAUUCCUGGUGUAGCGGUGAAAUGCGCAGAUAUCAGGAGGAACACCGGUGGCGAAGGCGGAUCUCUGGGCCAUUACUGACGCUGAGGAGCGAAAGCGUGGGGAGCGAACAGGAUUAGAUACCCUGGUAGUCCACGCCGUAAACGUUGGGAACUAGGUGUUGGCGACAU